UCGCAGAGCUACCAAACUUCUGCA
rnacentral:siRNA from 1 species